UACGUAGGGGGGCAAGCGUUGUCCGGAAUUAUUGGGCGUAAAGAGCGUGUAGGCGGUUCGGUAAGUCUGCCGUGAAAUCCUGGGGCUCAACCCCGGGCGUGCGGUGGAUACUGCCGGGCUAGAGGGUGGUAGAGGCGAGUGGAAUUCCCGGUGUAGCGGUGAAAUGCGCAGAUAUCGGGAGGAACACCAGUAGCGAAGGCAGCUCGCUGGGCCAUUCCUGACGCUGAGACGCGAAAAGCUAGGGGAGCGAACAGG
rnacentral:rRNA from 1 species